rnacentral:rRNA from 1 species
UACGUAGGGUGCGAGCGUUAACCGGAAUUACUGGGCGUAAAGUGUGCGCAGGUGGCCGCGCAAGUCGAGUGUGAAAUCCCCGAGCUUAACUUGGGAAUUGCGCUCGAAACUACGUGGCUCGAGUGUGGCAGAGGAAGGUGGAAUUCCACGUGUAGCGGUGAAAUGCGUAGAGAUGUGGAGGAACACCGAUGGCGAAGGCAGCCUUCUGGGCCAACACUGACGCUCAUGCACGAAAGCGUGGGGAGCAAACGGG